GUGGUGGCUCAGUGAUAGAGCACUUGCCUAGCAUGUGUGAGGCACUGGGUUCAAUUCUCAGCACCACA
rnacentral:tRNA from 1 species